UACAGAGGUCCCGAGCGUCGUUCGGAUUCACUGGGCGUAAAGGGUGCGUAGGUGGCCUGGUAAGUUUGAUGUGAAAGCUCAGGGCUUAACCCUGAAAUGGCAUUGAAUACUACUGUGCUGGAGGUUUGGAGGGGGGACUGGAAUUCUUGGUGUAGCAGUGAAAUGCGUAGAUAUCAAGAGGAACACCAGUGGCGAAGGCGAGUCCCUGGACAACACCUGACACUGAGGCACGAAAGCUAGGGGAGCAAACAGG
rnacentral:rRNA from 1 species